UACUUAGUGGCAGACGGGUGAGUAACAUGUGGGUAUCUACCCUUUGGCCUGGAAUAACACGAGGAAACUUGUGCUAAUACCGGAUAAGUCUUUACGGAGAAAGCUUUAUGCACCAUUGGAUGAGCCCGCACUUGAUUAGUUUGUUGGUAGGGUAAUGGCCUACCAAGACUAUGAUCAAUAGCUGAUUUGAGAGGAUGAUCAGCCACAUUGGGACUGAGACACGGCCCAAACUCCUACGGGAGGCAGCAGUGGGGAAUCUUGCACAAUGGAGGAAACUCUGAUGCAGCGAUGCCGCGUGAGUGAAGAAGGCCUUUGGGUUGUAAAGCUCUUUCGUCGGGGAAGAAAAUGACUGUACCCGAAUAAGAAGGUCCGGCUAACUUCGUGCCAGCAGCCGCGGUAAUACGAAGGGACCUAGCGUAGUUCGGAAUUACUGGGCUUAAAGAGUUCGUAGGUGGUUGAAAAAGUUGGUGGUGAAAUCCCAGAGCUUAACUCUGGAACUGCCAUCAAAACUUUUUAGCUAGAGUAUGAUAGAGGAAAGCAGAAUUUCUAGUGUAGAGGUGAAAUUCGUAGAUAUUAGAAAGAAUACCAAUUGCGAAGGCAGCUUUCUGGAUCAUUACUGACACUGAGGAACGAAAGCAUGGGUAGCGAAGAGGAUUAGAUACCCUCGUAGUCCAUGCCGUAAACGAUGUGUGUUAGACGUUGGAAA
rnacentral:rRNA from 1 species